rnacentral:misc_RNA from 1 species
GGAUGAUGAAGACGAGGCCGAGGGUGGGGGUGGGGGGAAGGGGGGACCAGGUGUGGGUGAAGAUGCGGAGGCCGCGGGGGUUGAGGAAGGAGGAGGUGGAGUGGGCGACGGAGUGGCGGGCGUAGAACUCGUCGGCGGUGAGGGAGCCGAAGGGGCUCUUGUCGUUGGCUUCGGCGAUAGGAUGCACCAUUUUUUCCUACGUCUUCGUUGCCUCUGCCGCUGGCUCUAUCUCCGACGCUGAUACCAC